CCCAUCCCCUCGGUCCCCAGAUCCAUCCUCUCCUCACCCGCAACCCCAAACCCGGCCCCGCCGCUGAUCUCCACUCCCCCAAACCCAGCCCCAGCCCCAGCCCCGUCAGCGACCUCCGCCUUCCACUCCACCCUCUCCUUCUCUCCACGCCGAAACCCUAGAUCGACGCCAUGGCAACCCCCUCCACCCCCACCGCUGACCCACCCUCUCCCUCUCCCUCUCCCCUCGAUCCCCAGAUCCAUCCUCGUGCUCGGUCGCGCCGCCCUCCUCCUCUCUGCGCUCCAUGGCCGGCACCGCAUCCUCUCACGCUUGCUCCGCUCCGCUCCUUCCUCCCAUCAGUUCAGAUCCGGUGCGCGCAUCCCCAACCCCUGAUGGCUCUCACGCCGCACCCGCCACUCCAGCUCCGCGCGCGCCCCCGCGGUCGCCGCGGCCCACCAGCGCCGUGCGCUCCUCUCGCCGCACCGCACUCGCUCCUGCCGUUGUUGCGCCGGCGCCGACGUGGGUAAGGUGUGGGCGAGGUGGGCGUACCCGUACGACGAGAUCAAGCAGAGGUGGCAGGCGUGCUGGGAGGAGCACCGCAUGUUCCGCACCCCGGACGCCUCCAGGCCCAAGGACUACAUCCUCGGCAUGUUCCCUUACCCAAGGAAAAGCAGGAAUGGAUCAGAAUCUGAUCGGUUAUUUGUCAAGGAGUACUGCUGCAUAUCAACAAGAAAUCGCUUCCUCCAUGACACCCCGAUCCAGGCGGCGGCAGCAGCGAUGGCGUCAACAAUCGAGUGUGCCUAACUCUGCAUCUAUAACUGGCCUGUCUUCUUUGGACGGGUGCAGGUGCUCUACUACGUGCUACUCCGGAAGGGUCACCUGGACAAAUGUUCUCCUUGUUUUUGAUCUACUGCCACUUUUUUAGCUACUGCCACUUGUUUUUGUCGGUAAUCUGAGCACUUGUUAGUUUAGUCAGGUAGGAGAUUAGAGUGAAAUGAUCCUGUAGGAGGUCCUGGACGAUGAUGUGCAAACAAUUAUUUUCUCUAGCAUUAGUAUGUCAAAUUUGUCUAAGUUAGUACAUGAGGAUUCUGCUAGCUGACAUACUAAUGUUGGUGAACGAGUGAUGCUUCAUAGCGGACAACUACUGGUUUUAAUAUGCAAACAACAACAGUGCCAGAGAUGCUAUGUACUAAUUAAUGUGUACUUGUUGAAAGUUCUCUCUUAUAUUAGUGUCUCUUAUUUCUUUUCUAAUUAAUGUCUCUCAUUUUUGUUCUAGUUAAUGUGUAACUGAGAAUGAACACACUUCUCUCUUUUUAGACUGCUAGAUUGCACAAGUUGAACGACUUGCUCUAGUUUAAACAAGUUGGGAUCCAUCAAUAUAAUAGGACUUUGUUUGCAUUUCACCUAGCUUGAAACCAAUAUCCUUAUUGCUAAUUUACUCAAGUUUAUCUAACAUGGUUGAAAUGAGCGCUGUAAAGUUUCACGUCUAAGCUCAAUUUUUAUCCGAAGUCCUGUAGUAAUUAUUUUGGUUACAUCAUAAUUUGCUGAGAAUAUUAACUUGAACAUUGUAUGUAUGCCCUGAUGCAUGUACACACACGGUUCAGCAAAUAUCGAGCUGCAGCGAAACAACCUGGAGCUAGAGAACAUCAAGGAUAAGAUCAAGGAAGUUCUUGCCUUGUUGGCAACAUUGUGAGAUCAUGACCAAGCAUGACAAGAAGGGAGGCUCGUCAACCACCUACCAGCUCACCUAUCAUGACCGAUGAUGAGACGCUGAAGGUUACGAGAGAUGAUGCUGGAGAGAUGCCCUUCCUAUAGGUCUGCACAUAAGCGGAAGUUCCUGGGUAUGCAAGAUUCGAUGGUUAAACUGGUUGAUGUGAUGUGAAUGAGUGUAUGGAAACUGUUUGUUGUGAUGUGAAUGAGUGUCUGUAGUUUCACAUCUUCUGUUCUGUAUAGCAUAUUGUAAUAAACUUAUUUUAGCUGUUAUUCGAAGAUUUUCAUAUGCUUUC